rnacentral:lncRNA from 7 species
CUACUUAUUUAUUAGAGAGCCUGUGCUGACAUGUGGAACUACGGAGGUUAAUGCUAGAAUGGAGAUCCCAAUACUACUGAAAAGUGAUGAGAUGACUCUGUCCUUUCCUCAAUGUUCUCUGGGUCAACAUCAGCACUUCCCAUCCAGCGGAGCCCAGACCAGAACUACAUCCAACCCUAGCAGACCUUUGGGACUGGAGCUGUUGGCUGGGUCUGCCAGCACAAACAUUUGCUUUGGUGUCUUGAGAUGGAACCUGCAUGCAGAAGGGAAGUGACUAGAGUGGGAAAUACGUAUUCCAUCUAAAUAGUGUAGAGAAGCUGCCUAGAGAGAGAACAGCGAAAACAUUGCUCUUUUGUGAACUCUGGGGUUUAUGUUUGUUAACUCUGAUGUGAUUUUUGCACCAUUAGAGUCUGACAGUGUUGACCGAUCACAGCUCUGCAUUCCACGUUUUUCCUAGUAGCUAUGUUGUGAUGAAUAUGGGGGCAGUGAGGAAGAAGGUAACAAGCUUUGUAUUUGCGUACAGUAAUGGGAGCUGAGAAGGAACUCUAGUAAUAAAAUUUAGGGGAUGGUUUCUGUAUUGGAGCUUGGGAGACCUGAGUGCCCCUUGUUUUUGUUGCUUGCAUCUUGAGUUAUGUUGGACAAGUCAUUCGUGUAACUGAGGGAGUGGCAGAGGUGUGCUUUGGGCAGUGUCUUUGCUUUUCCAAUGUUGUGUUUCAUAGCAGUUAGAUAAUAUUAUUUCACUCCCAUCUCUGCCACUGACUUUGGGAAGUCAUGUAACACUUAUAUUUCAGUUUUCCACAGCUGUCAAAUCUGAGCACUGAUAUUUGAUUGGCUAGGUUUGUAUGUAGGACAUCCACAGACAAUCUGCUGAAGAAAGACAGGAAAGUCUUUGCUCUUCAAGGAAACAGCUUUGAGAGGAAGCUGGAGAGUGCAUUUCCUGACCUAGGGACUGAAUUUUAGAAAGGGAAGAAGUGUUUGUCUAGCCUACGCAGGAGGAAGAAAGUAGCUAUCUCUGUAGUAUUUUCCAACAAUAAACGUAGGUAAUUCUUUAGCUGAGGUGAGUUCACGCUGCUGAGACCUGAGAUAUAGCAGCAAGAUAUGAUUCCAUUUAAUAGCAGACCUGCUCAUCAGAAAAGCUAGGACAAUGCUGUAGUAUUUGCAAGGGGUGCUUUUGCUAAAUGCUGUCCUAGGCAGUCUGCCUCUAGAUUUGAAAUACCCCAAGCACUGACAUAUGAGUUCACCUUCUAUAUUCUGUUUGUCAAUCAAACUUUCUUGAUCAGUGAUCUGCUGAGGACUGGUCUGACUGACCUGCACAGGGAGCUGGUUCCAAGCUGCCCAGCACU